AAAAAUCAUCAAAGACGAAGACUCACACAAACAAAAAAUGAAGAACAUAGUCUACAAAGAAAUCUUCAACCGCCUUCGUUCACAUGAAAUAUUCGAGCUAUCAACAGAAAUGAAUCAGUGUUAAAACUCAUUCCCUUAUGAUGAAUACCUCGCUACUUCCAAGUACGUCUCCAUAUUCUAUUAGUUAAGUAAAUUGAUUCCUAUUACUAAGUUAUGUUCACUGAUUUAUUUCAAAAUAAAUUUCAGGCUCUUUAACUGAAGAAAUUUCCAUCACAUCUGCCACCCUCUCCCUCAAAAAUUCUACCAUUUUAUUUAUAAUUUCUGCUUCUUUGUUUUAAGACUUUAGCAUUUGCUCUUAAUAAUGUUAAUAACUUUACUCUGCUUCUAAAUAUGAUUUAUAACAAACUUAAAUAUUAAAAC